ACUUGGGUGGCUCAGUUGAUUAAGCAUCUGACUUCAGCUCAGGUCAUGAUCUCAUGGUUUGUGGGUCCAAACCCCACCUUGGGCU
rnacentral:tRNA from 1 species